rnacentral:rRNA from 1 species
CAGUAGCCGCGGUAAUACGUAGGGUGCGAGCGUUAAUCGGAAUUACUGGGCGUAAAGCGUGCGCAGGCGGUUGUGUAAGACAGGUGUGAAAUCCCCGGGCUUAACCUGGGAACUGCGCUUGUGACUGCACAGCUAGAGUAUGGCAGAGGGGGGUGGAAUUCCACGUGUAGUAGUGAAAUGCGUAGAGAUGUGGAGGAACACCGAUGGCGAAGGCAGCCCCCUGGGCCAAUACUGACGCUCAUGCACGAAAGCGUGGGGAGCAAACAGGAUUAGAUACCCGUGUAGUCCCUGUCUCUUAUAC